UGCGUAGGUGGUGAUGCAAGUCUGGUGUGAAAUCUCGGAGCUUAACUCCGAAAUUGCACCGGAUACUGCGUUGCUCGAGGACUGUAGAGGAGAUCGGAAUUCACGGUGUAGCGGUGAAAUGCGUAGAUAUCGGGAGGAACACCUGUGGCGAAAGCGGCGCACUGGACCACUUCUGACGCUGAGGCGCGAAAGCUAGGGGAGCAAACA
rnacentral:rRNA from 1 species